rnacentral:lncRNA from 1 species
CUGCCAGGUAAGAAGUGCCUUUUGCCUCCUGCCAUGAUUCUGAGGCCUCCCUCCCCAGCCAUGUGGAACCGUAAGUCCAAUUAAACCUCUUUUUGUUCCCAGUUUCUGGUAUGUCUUUAUCAGCAGUGUGUAAAUGAACUAAUACAGAAUAGAAGACUGGGUAAAAUGAUGAAUGAGAAUAAAGAGUCUGUGUGACAGCCAAAUCACCUGGAACUCAUAGGAGAGUCUUGAUCUUGAGAUACAAAGGUAUAAAUAAAAUGUAGGUUGUAGUUAAAACUGUGAAGAUAGGUGGGAUUAUUUCAUGAAAGAUAAAGGUUAAUGUAAACUGAGUAAAGAAGAAAAAUCACCAGCAACAAUACUGAGAAUACAUAACCAUGGUAACAGGAAAAUAAUCAGUGUCUUGGAAGUUAUGCAGUGUAAUGCUUACCAGUGUUAAAAUCUGUAGAGAGCUUAAGCCAGGAAAGGUUAGGGUUGAAAAGUGGCU